rnacentral:tRNA from 1 species
AUUUUAAUAGUUUAUCAAAAAUAUUGAUUUUGUAAUUCAAUGAGAUCUGGCUAGAUUUAAAGUAUCAGUAAAAAUA